GCUAAAUCCCCUUAUAAUAAGUAGUACUCCCGAUUAUUUCUCAUAAGCAAAUCGUGAGAUCGGAUCUGAGAGCUACCUCGUUUGUCCGUCCUCACGGCGUCAUGACGGCGCCGUCGAAUCUCUCGAGCACACCGGAGUCACAGGACUUGGUGCAGAUUCAAGAACAAAGCCAUUGAAGUUCAGGAUAGGAUUAUGUUGGAGGACUUGGUGUGAUAGCUGACGUGACCAGAUUCUAGGAUCUUCAGCUAUGUGGUGAGACAGUGGGUACAAUGACAAAUUCAACGCAAGACCAUGCUGGUGGGAGACCACUGACGGGACACUAAGUGCAAGCUUAAGAGGAAAGAUAUGAUUCACAUUACUCCAUUCUGCAAGGAAACAAAAAACUUAACUGGACUGGAAUAUACUUCACGAACACUAGUCUUUGCAUUUGAUUAGGAUGGCACAUUCACUAUGUUAAACGAUUGCUAAAUUAUAUUUCAGUCUCAUUUUAAGGAUAUUUGUGAUGAGAUCUAUGAUAUUUUAUGAAUCUACAUCAUAUACUUAUGGUUUGAAUAAUAUAAUUGAAUGGAUGUACUA